rnacentral:rRNA from 1 species
UGGGGAAUAUUGCACAAUGGGCGCAAGCCUGAUGCAGCCAUGCCGCGUGUAUGAAGAAGGCCUUCGGGUUGUAAAGUACUUUCAGCGGGGAGGAAGGGAGUAAAGUUAAUACCUUUGCUCAUUGACGUUACCCGCAGAAGAAGCACCGGCUAACUCCGUGCCAGCAGCCGCGGUAAUACGGAGGGUGCAAGCGUUAAUCGGAAUUACUGGGCGUAAAGCGCACGCAGGCGGUUUGUUAAGUCAGAUGUGAAAUCCUCGGGCUCAACCUGGGAACUGCAUCUGAUACUGGCAAGCUUGAGUCUCGGAGAGAGGGGUAGAAUUCCAGGUGUAGCGGUGAAAUGCGUAGAGAUCUGGAGGAAUACCGGUGGCGAAAGCGGCCCCCUGGACGAAGACUGACGCUCAGGUGCGAAAGCGUGGGGAGCAAACAGG